UCAAUCGGCAGACAUGUCCUUCGUUCGAGACUUCUUGCUCUUUAUUGUCUCUGUAUUCUUGAUGCCUAAUACGUCUGUAAAUGUUGCUCGCGAAGUGGAGGAUCCUAUAAAGGCCAUAAAUGACAUUGCAACAGUUUGUCGUGUUAACUAGGCAUCACUGUCGUACAAUUAUCUAUGGAAGGCCCUUCGACGGCAUCAGAAAAACAAAGGCAUGUUUGUCGGAGGAUGCAUAUAUUUUUUACAGUUAUUUUACUGUCAUCACGUUGUUUGGAAGGAAGGAUAUGUUGAUAGAUCCCUCUGCCCUUUAAAUGUGUGGUCUGACGAUGAUUUCAAGGCUAUACUGGAUUGGGUACAGGAGCAUGGGGGGUUUGAAUCAAAUAAAAUUCCAAUGAUAGAGUUGCAGGACG